CCUACGGGAGGCAGCAGUGAGGAAUAUUGGACAAUGGGCGCAAGCCUGAUCCAGCCAUGCCGCGUGCAGGAAGACGGUCCUAUGGAUUGUAAACUGCUUUUAUACAGGAAGAAACACCUCUACGUGUAGAGACUUGACGGUACUGUAUGAAUAAGCAUCGGCUAACUCCGUGCCAGCAGCCGCGGUAAUACGGAGGAUGCAAGCGUUAUCCGGAAUCAUUGGGUUUAAAGGGUCCGUAGGCGGUUUAAUAAGUCAGUGGUGAAAGCCCAUCGCUCAACGAUGGAACGGCCAUUGAUACUGUUAAACUUGAAUUAUUAGGAAGUAACUAGAAUAUGUAGUGUAGCGGUGAAAUGCUUAGAGAUUACAUGGAAUACCAAUUGCGAAGGCAGGUUACUACUAAUAUAUUGACGCUGAUGGACGAAAGCGUGGGGAGCGAACAGGAUUAGAUACCCUGGUAGUCCACGCCGUAAACGAUGGAUACUAGCUGUUCGGAGCAAUCUGAGUGGCUAAGCGAAAGUGAUAAGUAUCCCGCCUGGGGAGUACGUUCGCAAGAUGAAACUCAAAUGAAUUGACCGG
rnacentral:rRNA from 1 species